rnacentral:rRNA from 1 species
UACCAGCACCCCGAGUGGUCGGGACGUUUAUUGGGCCUAAAGCAUCCGUAGCCGGUUCUACAAGUCUUCCGUUAAAUCCACCUGCUUAACAGAUGGGCUGCGGAAGAUACUAUGGAGCUAGGAGGCGGGAGAGGCAAGCGGUACUCGAUGGGUAGGGGUAAAAUCCGUUGAUCCAUUGAAGACCACCAGUGGCGAAGGCGGCUUGCCAGAACGCGCUCGACGUUGAGGGAUGAAAGCUGGGGGAGCAAACCGG